rnacentral:rRNA from 1 species
AAAGGGUCCGUAGGCGGACUCGUAAGUCAGUGGUGAAAUCUCAUAGCUUAACUAUGAAACUGCCAUUGAUACUGCGGGUCUUGAGUAAGGUAGAGGUAGCUGGAAUAAGUAGUGUAGCGGUGAAAUGCAUAGAUAUUACUUAGAACACCAAUUGCGAAGGCAGGUUACCAUGUCUUAACUGACGCUGAUGGACGAAAGCGUGGGGAGCGAACAGGAUUAGAUACCCUGGU